rnacentral:rRNA from 1 species
UACGAAGGGUGCAAGCGUUAAUCGGAAUUACUGGGCGUAAAGCGCGCGUAGGUGGUUCAGCAAGUUGGAUGUGAAAGCCCUGGGCUCAACCUGGGAACUGCAUCCAAAACUACUGAGCUAGAGUACGGUAGAGGGUAGUGGAAUUUCCUGUGUAGCGGUGAAAUGCGUAGAUAUAGGAAGGAACACCAGUUGCGAAGGCGGCCGUCUGGACACAUAUUGACGCUGAGGCUCGAAAGCAUGGGGAGCAAACAGGAUUAGAUACCCCAGUAGU